rnacentral:ncRNA from 2 species
CUACGGUUGUGCCGCCGUGGUGCUCGGGAAGACCGGUGACAGACCUUCAGGGGUCUCAGACCGGAGCGGCCCUCGCCACUGUGAUCGGGAAGUACCGGCACCAUCCCCGUCCCCGCCUGGGCCGGGCGGCCACUGGACGCAGCUGCGUCCGGGAAGGCCGGGCGCCGGUGUGUUCGACCCGUCAGCCAGGAGACCGGCCACGGCAUCUCACGAAGU